rnacentral:rRNA from 1 species
AUUGAACGCUGGCGGAAUGCUUUACACGUGCAAGUCGAACGGCAGCACGGACUUCGGUCUGGUGGCGAGUGGCGAACGGGUGAGUAAUGUAUCGGAACGUGCCCAGUCGUGGGGGAUAACGUAGUGAAAAUUACGCUAAUACCGCAUACGAUCUAUGGAUGAAAGCGGGGGAUCGCAAGACCUCGCGCGAUUGGAGCGGCCGAUAUCAGAUUAGGUAGUUGGUGGGGUAAAGGCCCACCAAGCCAACGAUCUGUAGCUGAUCUGAGAGGACGACCAGCCACACUGGAACUGAGACACGGUCCAGACUCCUACGGGAGGCAGCAGUGGGGAAUUUUGGACAAUGGGCGAAAGCCUGAUCCAGCCAUUCCGCGUGCAGGAUGAAGGCCCUCGGGUUGUAAACUGCUUUUGUACAGAACGAAAAGGUUUCUACUAAUACUAGGAGCUCAUGACGGUACUGUAAGAAUAAGCACCGGCUAACUACGUGCCAGCCGCCGCGGUAA